rnacentral:rRNA from 1 species
GACGAACGCUGGCGGCGUGCUUAACACAUGCAAGUCGAACGGAAAGGCCCUGCUUUUGUGGGGUGCUCGAGUGGCGAACGGGUGAGUAACACGUGAGUAACCUGCCCUUGACUUUGGGAUAACUUCAGGAAACUGGGGCUAAUACCGGAUAGGAGCUCCUGCUGCAUGGUGGGGGUUGGAAAGUUUCGGCGGUUGGGGCUGGACUCGCGGCUUAUCAGCUUGUUGGUGGGGUAGUGGCUUACCAAGGCUUUGACGGGUAGCCGGCCUGAGAGGGUGACCGGCCACAUUGGGACUGAGAGACGGCCCAGACUCCUACGGGAGGCAGCAGUGGGGAAUAUUGCACAAUGGGCGGAAGCCUGAUGCAGCAACGCCGCGUGCGGGAUGACGGCCUUCGGGUUGUAAACCGCUUUCGCCUGUGACGAAGCGUGAGUGACGGUAAUGGGUAAAGAAGCACCGGCUAACUACGUG